UACGGGGGGGGCAAGCGUUGUUCGGAAUUACUGGGCGUAAAGGGCUCGUAGGUGGCCAACUAAGUCAGACGUGAAAUCCCUCGGCUUAACCAGGGAACUGCGUCUGAUACUGGAUGGCUUGAAUCCGGGAGAGGGAUGCAGAAUUCCAGGUGUAGCGGUGAAAUGCGUAGAUAUCUGGAGGAAUACCGGUGGCGAAGGCGGCAUCCUGGACCGGCAUUGACGCUGAGGAGCGAAAGCUAGGGGAGCAAGCGGGG
rnacentral:rRNA from 1 species